GCCGGGAGCCGCUGCCGUGACGCCGAAAAUCCGCCCCGAAGACGUUGCCGAAGCGCGUCCCCGACCCGAAGGCGGCCGUCCGCGUGCCCGAUCGCGCCUUGCGGCUCGCGAGGGACUGAUCGAUUGGGCGCGCGCCGCGAUGGUCGCGCGUGUGCGGCGCGCGGGGAACGCGAUGGGCGCGCGCGGCGCGUGACAGCACGGAGCGGACAAGCAGCGGCGCGUUCGCAUCGCCAUGGGGGAGAGAGGCGCGUUCCUGUGCGGGGUCGUGGAAGGAUUCUACGGCAGACCCUGGUCCAUGGAGCAGAGGAAGGCCCUGUUCCGCUGGUGAGCCCCACCCCCACUGCACCUCCCUCCUUCCUACCUGUGGGUGUGUGUGUGUGUUUGGUACCGUUCGCCCACGUGUGGCUCUGCAGGUGUGCCCGUCGAGUGUCAUCAGAGGUUUAUAUAUUCAACAUGCAGAGUUUGGCUCGGCGUUCGCCAGCGCAAACUGUACCACUGGCCGUUUCCAUGGCAACCGGCUCCGCAAAGCUCUGCUCCACACUGUCGUCUAAAACUGUACUUUGCUUUUUACUGCAUCUGAAUGUUGUCCCCUUUUACAUGCUGUAUUGGUUCAUGUAAACAUAAGGGCCCUUUGCACUGCCUGUACUUGUGUGGUGGUUGGAGCUUCUGGCCUGCAGCUCAAGGAUUUUGGUUCAAAUCCCACUUUUGCUGCAUUACCUGAGAACCACAUACUCACCCAUAAAUUCUCUCGUAAAAAAAAUACCCAGUUUUGCAAAUAUGCAAAUACUUGUAAGUAGUUUGAUAUAAGAACCUAACAAGUGUCUUUGUCGAUAGACUUUGGGCAGCUGGUACUGUAGUAGUUAGAGCAGCUUCCUUUGCACCCAUGGGUUGCAGGUUCAAAUCCCACCUCCAUCUGUGCUUCCUUUAAAUAAGGUAUUUAUCCUGAGUUGCUCCAGUAAAUCUACCCAGCUGUGUAAAUGGUUGUAAGUAGGUUUAGGGAAAUGCAUGAGCUACAUGACUGGACAUAAAGUAUUAAAUGGGCUGAGAGGUAGGUAGGUGUGUGUGUGUGUGUGUGUGUGUGUGUGUGUGUGUGUGUGUGUGUGUGUGUGUGUGUGUGUGUGUGUGUGUGUGUGUGUGUAAUACAGCCAGUGGCCACUAGGAGUCACUGUGUGCUGCAGUGUGAGGGAACUGCUUUGGACCAGGAGCUCAUGGUUCCUCUGCAGCUUCUGCCACAUCCACUAAAAUUACUUCCUGCUGCACAAAGGACUGCUGUUUGAAUCCCAUCUCCUGCUGUAGUACCCUAGAUAUGGUACUUACCCUGAACUGAUACAGUACACAUUUACCUAGUUGUGUGAAGGUUUAAAUCAGUAGCUUAACAUUGUAACUUUGAAGAGAAGCAUCAGCUGUGUCAAUAAUAUUGAACAUAAAGGAUGGUCUCCAGUUGGGUUUUUACCCUGGUCCAGCACAGUCACUCACUCAUUCACACACUGCAUGCAAGUUAGCAUUGCCAGUGCACCUGAACUGCAAGUCUUGGCACUGUGAGAGGAAACCAGAGCACCCUUACGAACAUGGGGAGAUCAUGCAGGCUCCACACAGCGCGAGCCUGGCUUGAGCCUACGUUCGAACCCAGAACCAGGGCGGCCGUGGUGGAUGAAACGAGCGUUGAAGUGAAGGUGCGGCUGAGAGACGGGUCCCCUGCUGAACAAAACAACAUCAUCAUCAUCAGCAGCUGCUGCCAGAAAGCAAAGCGAUGCGAAUAUGACUUAUGACACGCGUGAUGGCGUACGACAUAACGUGACCGAAGGGAAUCGGUGAAACGCGCACCUGGCUGCGGACACAGUCCUGCUCAUCUCCCUGUGGGUGAUGUGACACAGCAUGCUGGGAAAGGAGGCUGUGCUCACCGUGUUCCUCUUGUGUGUCACAGAUACGAAUAUGAUAGGAGGACACUUUGCCGGCCGAACGCGUUUGCACGUACGGUGGAUUUGACGCGGCGGAGCUCGUUCAGACACGUCCGACACGGUCAAGCAACACACGUGACGGACGUCACACCACAUUCGAGUAACAACGAGUAUAACGUGACAGUAAAUAGCGGAGAAACAGUCCCACCGUUUGACGUGGACCAACUAGCUGAAUAUUCAUGUCCAUCCAGGGUGGAUAUGGAUUAUAAUGUUCAUGAGGGAAACUUUGCAUAUUGUUUGUUUAUUAUAGUGUUCUUCCUCUUCAGACUUCUGUUACACUUUUAUUGACAUGUUUAUUAUCCUUUGCUUUCUUCUAAUGUAAUUUGGUCAUUUCCUCAUUUUUGGCGCAUAGUUGGUGUCACUUGAACCACGAAGAGCAGUAGUGUGGGUGCGUGCAAAUGGGGGGGGGGGCUGUGUGGGUGGAGCGACGGCGCCACCAUCUGCACGGGAAGCGAGACUAGUGAUGUUACCUGCGCCCAGAGGGAGACGAGUUGUGUUUGACCCCCCAGCGUCCCCAUGUAUCUCCCCUCUUCAUCUCUCUCUGCUGCCUGGCUGCAGCUGCCUGCAUCAGGAUCAAAACUGGCUACGGCCUACAAGACGGUCAAAGGAUCUGCGCUGCGGUACCUACAGGACCCGAUCGCUCCCUACAGCCCGGAAAGGGUGCUGAGCUCCUCCAACUCUGGACACUUGGUUGUCUCACUCUCAGGGGUGCGGAAGUGUGUAGGGUCUCCGUGUGGUGCAGUGAGCGCCCGCUGUCCCUCGGAGCUGCUGAAUCCCUUUAAAAACUCCUUUGUUUCAGGGCCACUUCUCUCCUGAUCUCCUAACAGCUCCAUAAACUCACAUCACACCAUCCGUCACCAUCACCUCUGCGUUUCCUACUACUGCUACUCUGUACCGUGGUAUUGGACACACUGAGUCUGUCUGUCUGUCUGGUCAAUUGUACUUUUGCACGUCACUUUGGGGAAGAGUCUGAUACAGUGAAUAAACGUCAGAGUGGUUCCA
rnacentral:lncRNA from 1 species